CACUAUCGAUGAACUUCGUGAAAGCCCUACUGGUGGAACAUCUGCUUAUCACAUCGAGCAACAGUACGUCGCAGUCACUAACGGCUCGUCCUCAUGUUUUUCAGGUACACCCAGGGAGAGUCCAUAAGCACUGCUGAGCGCAAACAUCCUCUUGGGCCUCUCUUUAUUGGACAACCCAUAGCUCCCCCCCGUCGGAACGGCCCUGACGACAACGCAUAACAUAUCUUACUGUCCUGCCGACAGCAUCGGGAGCAUCUCCAGGCAUCCACGAGCCAAACGUCACCAAUUCCUGCAGGAGUAACCGACCCCCGACCUUUGACCGAACCAAACAAGCGUUCGGCAGCUUUCAACACAGUCCUCAGAUUUAACCCCUAUAGCUGAAUGGCGUAAUUACUUUCCGAUCUAUAGAUAUCGAACCGUCUUAGAAUACUUAGCGCAUUGACAUGCCGGGGCAAUUCGACCCGAAGGGAACCCGUUCUUUACGUUAUUUAUUGCCGUUGUUGUUGUUUAACCGAAUAGCGCACGAGCGCCACCACCAUCCUGUUCAUAUUCCACACUUCAAGGCAGGGCGCAUUCCCCGCAUCGUAUUAGGGUAUCACCUUCAGCGCUCGAACAGGCCCCACGAUGCUAU